UCCCUGGUGGCUCAGAUGGGAAAGUGUCUGUCUACAAUGCAGGAGACCCGGGUUCGAUCCCUGGGUUGGGAA
rnacentral:tRNA from 1 species